rnacentral:rRNA from 1 species
UCGUGUCGUGAGAUUGGUUGGUUAACGUCCCGCAACGACGCGCAACCUUGUCUUUAGUUGCCAUCAUUCAGUUGGGCACUCUAAAGAGACUGCCGGUGUCAAACCGGAGGAAGGUGGGGAUGACGUCAAGUCCUCAUGGCCUUUAUGACCAGGGCUACACACGUACUACAAUGGCCGGUACAAAGGGCAGCCACUUAGCGAUAAGGAGCCAAUCCCGUAAAGCCGGUCUCAGUCCGGAUUGGAGUCUGCAACUCGACUCCAUGAAGUUGGAAUCGCUAGUAAUCGCAGAUCAGCACGCUGCGGUGAAUACGUUCCCGGGCCUU